ensembl:lncRNA
GUUCGAUUAAUAAUUGGUUAAGAAAAAUGUGCAUGUUUAAAGACAGUCUGUACAGAAUAUAUUUGUUAAUUGAUCGGUUAAACCGUUCCAGGCAUUGUAGAAAUCAAAUACACCGAAACCAUUCCAUAGGAGCCUGUGGUACAAUAAAUGGACUAGGAGGAAUGGGAUACAGGUGAAGAGUAUUGAGGCAGUCAAAGUAAAAGGCCAAUCAAAAUCCAGUUGAAGCUAGAACAUUUAGAAUGGGCUGCGUCUCAAGCCACUGCAGCCGCCUGUCACCCUUACGCAUCUGCAGUGGACAGGGGCCGAGCUACAGUGGUGUUGGUCAGACACCCCAAAAAUGCAGUCUCAAAAACAUCUAUAGCUUCAGAACGGUUUGGCCUACAAACUGACCAUUAUGGGAAAUUGACUCCCGAACAUAGUUACGUUUCCCUCUAUAACCCCACAAUUGUAAGACAGGUAACCCAUACAAACAGAAAUAUGGAGGUAGAAGCAUCCAAAAUAACAUUUGAGUCAACUAGAUAUGGAACAGACACUCCUAAACUGAUUUUACUCUUUGCCAUUUGUGGUAUGGGCUAUAGUAUGAGGCGAAAUGCAAGUUAAACACCAACUCGUCACUCAAUUCUAGUAGCUAAAUGAGCCAUGGUGAUGAGUCAUGGUCUGACCAUCUAAAAAACAUUCCCUAUAUGUUAACUUACUGAGGUCAUUUAUGAACAUUUGAACAACUUGGCCAUGUUCUGUUUUAAUCUCCACCCGGCACAGCCAGAAGAGGACUGGCCACCCCACAUAGCCUGGUUCCUCUAGGUUUUGGCCUUUCUAGGGAGUUUUUCCUAGCCACUGUGCUUCUACACCUGCAUUGCUUGCUGUUUGGGGUUUCUGUACAGCACUUUGAGAUGUCAGCUUAUGUAAUGAAGGGCUAUAUAAAUAAAUUUGAUUUGAAGAAAGUCUCACUGUAUACAAUGCAUGCCUACAUCUAAAGUAUGAACAUAUGAAGAAUGUCUGACAACUCACCCCUUGACAAAUGUAGACCCAAGCUUUUAUUUUGAACAACCAGUAGCAAAGGUAAAAGACUAGAAAAACCAAAGAAUUAACUGAGCAGUCAUUUUUACUACAGACUGCACACCACCUGUUCUCAAUUAGCAAGCAAUGGACACGAGAACCAUUAUUUCACAGAGACAGGGCAUUUUUUAAAGUAGAACUGUUCAUGUACUCCCUCACGCUAGAGUAGCAAGAGCACCAGACACUUCCUGGUCGAAACAAAAGCAGAAAGAAAUGCAGUGUCAGCAACACAGAAUGUUAAGUAACCAAUGUCAAAAACAAUUCUCACCAUUAGCUUCUAGAGGAUGAAUCCAUUACAUUUUCUUGUUGAAAGAUAUGGUUAGUACAAAGGACUUCAAAUUCAGAGAGCAAAGUUCAGAGCAGGUUAAAGUGAACCAUUACCUUGCAGAAUCUUUCACUAGUGAUGGAUAUGCGCUUGGUGCACCAGUACGAACAAAACUGUCCUUGGGAGCAUUUCCAAUGUGAACAAGCAUAGCCUCCCUAGGAGUGUAGCGGGUUAAGGAGAAUACAGUCCUGCCAUUCUCGUAGUGCGAUUUGGAACUGUAGGAAUAGAUUGGGAUGACACCCGACUGUUCAACGAUGCUGGCCUGAGUGCUACUAGAGGCACCAUCUUCAGUGCUUUCGUAGUGAUUCUGCUGGGGCAUGGACAUUGGGGCCAGUUGCUUCUGGGGCAUUUGAGCUGGAUACCCCACUUGCUGGGGUAUGGUGGCCGGUUCGUUCUGCUGCGGUUCAGCAGCCGGUUGCUUCUGCUGUAUUUGAGCUGGUUGCCACUCUUGCUGAGGCACGUCGGUCAGUCGCUUCUGCGGUAGAGGCAUGGAGGCCAGUUGCUGCCGUGACAUUUGAGCUGGAUACCACACUUGCUGGGGUACGGCGGUCGGUUGCUCCUGCGGUAGAGGCGUGGAGGCCGGUUGCUUCUGCUGCUGGGGAAAUUCAGCUGGAUGCCAUACUUGCUGAUGCGUAUGCGGCAUGGCGGUCACCGCAGCGACUUGCUUCUGGACCGUUUUAGCUGGAUACCACACGUCGUGAGGCUGCUGGGGCAUAGGGGCCGGUUGCUUCUGUGCCCGAUGCCACACUUGCUGAAGCAUGGCAGCCGGUUGCUUAUGCUGCUGGGGCAUUUGAGCGGAUUGCCACAGUUGUGGUGGAUUGGCGGUCAGUUCCUUCUGUGGUAGAUGCAUAGUGAAUCGUUGCUUCUGCUCCUGGAGAAAUUGAUCUGGAUGCCACAAUUGCUGAGGUGGCUGGGGCAUGGCGGUCAGUUCAAUUUGCUGCUGAGGUUCAGCGGCCGGUUGCUUCUGCAGCUGGGGCUUUUGAGCUUGAGACAACAUUUGCUUGGCCAAGGUGGUCGGUUGCUUCUGCUGCUGGGGUUCAGUGGUUGGUUGGUUCUGGGGCAUUUUAGCUGGAUACACCACACUUGCUGAGGUUGCUGGUGUAUGGCGGUCAGUUCCUUCUGCGGUGAAAGCCUUAGGGCUGGUUGUUUCUGCUGCUGGGGAAAUUGAGCUGGAUGUCACUCUUGAGGCAUGGUGGUCAGUUCCUACUGCCGAGUUGCAGCUGCUUCUGGACCAUUUUAGCUGGAUACCACAAGUCAUGAGGCUGCUGGGGAAUGGGGGCCAGUUGCCACACUUGCUGAAGCUUGGCAGCCGGUUGCUUAUGCUGCUGGGGAAUUUGAGCGGAUUGCCACAGUUGUGGUGGAAUGGCGGUCAGUUCCUUCUGCAGUUGACGCAUAGGGACGGGUUGCUCCUGGGGAAAUUUGGCUGGAUGCCACUGAGGUUCAGCGGUUGGUUGCUUCUGGGGCAUUUGAGCUGGAUACCACACUUGCUGAGGUAGCUGGGGUAUGGAGGCCUGUUCCUUCUGAUGCUGAAGUUCAGUAACUGGUUGCUUCUGGGUUAUUUGAGCUGGAUACAACAUUGCUUGAGGCUGCUUAGGAUAACUGGCCGGUAGCGUCUGCUGUUGGGUCAUGGCGGCCGGUUGCUUUUCCUGCUGCUGGGGCAUUUGAGCUGGAUUCCUGUUGCUGCUGGGGAAUGUGCAUUGGAUACCACAUUUUCUGAGGUGCCUGGGGCAUGGGGGCCAGUUGCUUUUGAAGGAUGGCUUCCAGAUGUGUAUGUUGUUCUUCGGUCAGCUGCGCUUGCAAUUGAGCUGUUGGAGAGUUGUAAUUACCAUAUCCUUUAGACCUAAGUGGGCCUGUAUAGAGCCAUGCUGCAUCAGAACCUGGUGCAGGAUACCCAUCAC